rnacentral:rRNA from 1 species
CAUGUCCUUUUGAUAAUUAUUUAAGGUCUGACCUGCCCACUGAGUUUUUGAAGGGCCGCGGUAUUUUGACCGUGCAAAGGUAGCAUAAUCAUUAGUUUUUUAAUUGAAAGCUGGUAUGAAUGGUUGGACGAGAAAGUUACUGUCUCUAUUUAAUUUAUGUUAGAAUUUUAUUUUUAAGUUAAAAAGCUUAAAUUUUUUUAAAAGACGAGAAGACCCUAUAGAGUUUUAUAUAGAUGCUUUUGUUCAUUAUUAGGUAUAUAGAUUUUGCAUUAUGUUUCUAUAUUUUAUUGGGGUGAUAAAAAGAUUAAAUUAACUCUUUUUUUAUUUUUACACUGAUAUGUGAAUAUUUGAUCCAAGUAUUUUGAUUAUAAGAUUAAAUUACCUUAGGGAUAACAGCGUAAUCUUUUUAAAGAGUUCUUAUCGAAAUAAGGGAUUGCGACCUCGAUGUUGGAUUAAAGUUAAUUUUUGGUGUAGAAGCUAGAAAAUUGAGUCUGUUCGACUUUUAAAACUUUACAUGAUCUGAGU